UAGGGAAUCUUCGGCAAUGGGGGCAACCCUGACCGAGCAACGCCGCGUGAGUGAAGAAGGUUUUCGGAUCGUAAAGCUCUGUUGUAAGAGAAGAACGUGUGUGAGAGUGGAAAGUUCACACAGUGACGGUAACUUACCAGAAAGGGACGGCUAACUACGUGCCAGCAGCCGCGGUAAUACGUAGGUCCCGAGCGUUGUCCGGAUUUAUUGGGCGUAAAGCGAGCGCAGGCGGUUUCAUAAGUCUGAAGUUAAAGGCAGUGGCUUAACCAUUGUUCGCUUUGGAAACUGUUACACUUGAGUGCAGAAGGGGAGAGUGGAAUUACAUGUGUAGCGGUGAAAUGCGUAGAUAUAUGGAGGAACACCGGUGGCGAAAGCGGCUCUCUGGUCUGUAACUGACGCUGAGGCUCGAAAGCGUGGGGAGCAAACAGG
rnacentral:rRNA from 1 species